rnacentral:rRNA from 1 species
CGCAUCUGUGCAUGCAGCAUAUCAAUAAGCGGAGGAAAAGAAACUAACAAGGAUUCCCCUAGUAACGGCGAGUGAAGCGGGAAGAGCUCAAAUUUGAAAUCUUAAAGGGUUUCCCUUUACGAAUUGUAGUUUAAAGAAGUGUUUUCUGUUGAGGUUUUGGUAAAAGUUCUUUGGAAUAGGACAUCAUAGAGGGUGAGAAUCCCGUAUUUGACCUUUACUUUCAACUUUGUGAUACACUUUCAAAGAGUCGGAUUGUUUGGGAAUGCAGUCCAAAAUGGGUGGUAAAUUUCAUCUAAAGCUAAAUAUUGGCGAGAGGACCGAUAGCGAACAAGUACCGUGAGGGAAAGAUGAAAAGAACUUUGAAAAGAGAGUUAAACAGUACGUGAAAUUGUCAAAAGGGAAGCGUUUGACACCAGUGUUGUUUUUCUGAAAAUCAAUUAAAGAACUGUUUAUGCUAAGUUGUUUAGACUUUAUCAGCUAUCUGUUUAGUUUUGAGCUUUUCUUUAAUGCACUUUUCAGUUAACAAGUCAACAUCAAUUUCUUUUGCUGUAAAAAAGCUUGAGAAGGUGGCUUGAGAUUCGUCUUAAGUGUUUAUAGCCUCUUGCCUAUGCAGUCGGAGAGAUUGAGGUCUGCAGCGUAGAUCCUUCGGGGCUAAAUGCAUUUGUGCUAAGUUAUAGCAUUUUAUAGACAACUUGUUGACUAUGAUUUGUCUUGUAGCUUACUCGCUUAUGUUAUUUUACCUACGCUUAGGAUGUUGAAUCUGUGCGAGACUAC